UCCUGGUUUCCCAGGCAGUCCCAUCAGAGUGCUCCACUUUCAUGGAUAGCAACUGACGGCAAGGGUUGCGCUCGUUAAAGGACUUAACCCAACAUCUCACGACACGAGCUGACGACAGCCAUGCAGCACCUGUGCAUGUGUCUGGACCGAAGCCCAGAAGACUGUAUUUCUACAGCUGUCACAAGCAUGUCAAGCCUAGGUAAGGUUCCUCGCGUAGUAUCGAAUUAAACCACAUGUUCCACCGCUUGUGCGGACCCCCGUCAAUUCCUUUGAGUUUUAGUCUUGCGACCGUACUCCCCAGGCGGAUCACUUAACGCGUUAGCUACGACACCAAUCCCGCAGAGCGAGACUGACGUCUAGUGAUCAUCGUUUACGGCGUGGACUAC
rnacentral:misc_RNA from 1 species